rnacentral:rRNA from 1 species
CAGUGAGGAAUAUUGCAACAAUGGACGCAAGUCUGAGGCAGCGACGCCGCGUGGGUGAAGAAGGCCUUCGGGUCGUAAAGCCCUUUUCUGUGUGACGAGAACGGACGGUAGCACAGGAAAAAGUCUCGGCUAACUACGUGCCAGCAGCCGCGGUAAAACGUAGGAGGCAAGCGUUAUCCGGAGUUACUGGGCGUAAAGCGUGCGUAGGCGGGUCGGUAAGUGGGUCGUGAAAGCGCCGGGCUAAACCGGGCGAGGACGAACUAGACUGCCGGUCUAGAGGCGGAUAGAGGGGUGCGGAAUUCCGGGUGUAGCGGUGAAAUGUGUAGAGAUCCGGAGGAACACCAGUGGUGCAAACGGCGCCCUGGGUCCGAACUGACGCUGAGGCACGAAAGCGUGGGGAGCGAACGGGAUUAGAGACCCCGGUAGUCCACGCCGUAAACGAUGUCAACUAGGUGUCCACUCGGCUACGGUCGAGGGGGUGCCGAAGCUAACGCCAUAAGUUGACCGCCUGGGGAGUAUCGGAUCGCAUAGGUUCUCUUUUUGAAAACUC